rnacentral:tRNA from 1 species
GGAGAGGUGGUCGAGCGGUUCAUGGCACCGGUCUUGAAAACCGGCAGGGCGAAUAACCCUCGAGGGUUCGAAUCCCUCCCUCUCCG